UCGAAAUUUGUGUAUACACAUGUUUAUCAUGAUGAUCUACAUAUUCUUCAUCAAAAUCAAAUCAUUUUUUUUGGCAAUUAUCGCAUUUAUUCUGUCAGGACUAACAAUGUUCACGCGUUACUUGUGUUGAUCAGGAGGAGAAGAAGUUGGAUUGGCUCAAAAACGCAAAACUGAAGCUAGGGUUCUUGAGCUAGAACUUGAAAAAGAUAAACCUUUUGCACGGUCCAAAGUGGUUACUCACUUCAUGUCUGCUUGCUCUAUCAUGAAUUUAUGAAUUGUGAUGAAAUUUUGAGUUUUCUUUUCUGCACUUGUGUUAUCAAUUGUGCAUUCAAGUUACUCAAUAGUGCCUAAAAAAUGGAUUAGUUAUCUUAGCGUAACCAUUUAAAGGUGAUGUUUUCAUACAGUAACAAAUAUUUAUUUGAUUCAACAUAUCUUGGAGCAACUAAAAGUAUUGUCACUUGUGCUUUUCUGAUCUAUGAGUGAAUAGUAGUAAAAAAAACUUCAAAGGAGAGGAGAGGGUUUAUAUAUCUAUAUUUGGCUCUAUGGAAAAUGAUCUAAGAUUUUGCAGUAGGAUUUAGUUGCUUGUUUCGUAGUAAUUUUCACUUUUGGUUCUAUAGGCCUUUUCUGGAUUUGUUUUUGUUGAUAUGUUGCUGCUGCUUGUGUUUCAAUGGUAUCAAUCAAUCAAUGUCCAUAUUAUUUUUCUUUUGAGGAAAAUCUCCUGUUUGAUGUAAUCUAUCUGCUUGAUUUUAGAUUCUUUAUGUUGUGGUUCAAUAGAUUAAUGCUAAAGAGGACUGUGAGUACUAAAGUUUUAUUCCAUUUAUCAUACAUGAUACAUCUGAGGUGAAAUUGGUAUGUGCCCUGCUUGAUAUUUCUCAAUUUUCCAGGAUAAUAGGGAUGAUGUUUAAAGGAAUAAAGAUAAAGAAAUAUUUGAACUAUGAUUCAUAUUUAAUAUUCAGACCUCAAGAUCGAACUAAAAAAAAAACUGUAUUUCAAAGAAAGAAUUAGAAUUCAUAAAUCGAAAGAUUUCUCUAUUUCAAACUUCUUUUGUAUGCCUAUUUUGUUUGAAUCAACAGAAGGCAUGAGGAAGUUGAAAAAUUGACUUCAAUAUGUUAAGAUCGUGGAUGAUCACCCACAGGGUUGAGCCAUUGAGGGUGAUUAAUAUCUCUCAAGAAGGACUCUUUUUGGUGCAGUCAGGAAGAGUCAUUGUUAUUAGUAAGAUAUUGAGUACCGUGUAUUGUAUGUCAUUCUCGUAUGCGAACUUUCUGAAUUCUCAUGAUGCAUGCAUAUUUUGUUGGCAGAGAUGAUCCUCAACUCGAUAGAAUGAUGAAGAAUAAAGAGACCAACUUUGCUUCUUUCGGACUUGGGGGCGAAUGAGAAGAAAGAGUCUGGUUUCAUUAUUCCCCUAGAUGUACCUAGUCACAGUUGGAUAAAAAGGGGGACUUGACUACGAAGCUAACAGAUACGGUAUUAGACCUGGGAGACAUUGGGAUGGAGUUAAUCAUAGUACUGGUAAGUAAACUUAUUAAAUGCUUGUAACUAUUUUGCUUUGCGAUCUGAAGUCGUGUAACAAACUUUUGCUUGUUUCAAAGAAAA